AUGUACGCUGGCGGCGUGCCUCAUACCUGCAAGUCGAGCGAACAGACGAGGAGCUUGCUCCUCUGACGUUAGCGGCGGACGGGUGAGUAACACGUGGAUAACCUACCUAUAAGACUGGGAUAACUUCGGGAAACCGGAGCUAUUACCGGAUAAUAUAUUGAACCGCAUGGUUCAAUAGUGAAAGACGGUUUUGCUGUCACUUAUAGAUGGAUCCGCGCCGCAUUAGCUAGUUGGUAAGGUAACGGCUUACCAAGGCGACGAUGCGUAGCCGACCUGAGAGGGUGAUCGGCCACACUGGAACUGAGACACGGUCCAGACUCCUACGGGAGGCAGCAGUAGGGAAUCUUCCGCAAUGGGCGAAAGCCUGACGGAGCAACGCCGCGUGAGUGAUGAAGGUCUUCGGAUCGUAAAACUCUGUUAUUAGGGAAGAACAAAUGUGUAAGUAACUAUGCACGUCUUGACGGUACCUAAUCAGAAAGCCACGGCUAACUACGUG
rnacentral:rRNA from 1 species